rnacentral:lncRNA from 1 species
GCUCCCUCCCUGACGUCAUUGCUGGCCGAGCGCUCCACUCCAAAACAUGGCAGGAAGUCCAACAGGCGAUGCUGGGGAAAAGAAGAGAUCCCAGCAGCGACUUAAUAACCACUCGCCGAUUCCAACCUUCUGGGCAAUAUAGUCCCAACGGCGACUCGUUCCUUUCCUUUUGUCAUUCAGAUGAUGGGAAUCGUUCAUUCUUCAAGACGGUAUCAGGAGGAGAGUAAUGACACUGGUAAGAAGUAGAAUAUUGCCGUGGACGAACAGUAGAACAAUAACCUCGAUGGGAAGCAGUAUAACUUCUCAGAUCUGGAACCGUAUAGGGAAUAGGUCAUGGCAAAUCUGGAACCAUAUAGGGAGUAGGUCGUGGUCGCCUUUUAUGAAGAUUUCGAUGACUGUUAACACAAAAAUCGAAGAAUGGUGGAGGGGCUGGAUAUGUUGUUGAAGCGGCAGGCGGGGUCCCUGUUCGGGCGCCAAUUGUCACGAUUGGGUGUUGACCCACAUC